AGCUCACUGCAUGGUUGGUGAUGAAAAUGUUUGAAUAAAAUAUAAACAAGAAAAUGUGCAUUUUAGCUCCAGUUUUGCAGGACUUUCGUCCCUAAAGGUGUUUCUGUGAAUGAACCUCAAGUAGAAUCGAGAACCGACCGUCAGCUUCAUCACUUCUGUUUUACCAGAAAUCCACCUGAGACCCGAGGUUCCUCCACUGAGCAGCACUUCCGUCAGGACGGAUCGGCCGGCGUGAGGACGAACGUAAUUGGACCGACAAGUGACACAUAUGUGGAAACCAGAAGAUGAUGGCGGAGACGACUCGGAUCAUGUGACCUGCACCUCACAUGCCUCCUCCAAGUACCCUCAAGCCAGAGACCAGAAAUGCAACGAUGAAGCUGCCAAAUGAGAAUUCCUUCGUUCAUCUGCACAGCUGGAUCAUCCUCAAAUCAAAGGUUUGACACAGUGUGAUCUCCUCUUUCCUCGAGAUCCAACUGGGAAUAUUUAGUGAAACUCGGAAAGUUUGCUUCAACAGCAUCAAAGAAUCAAAUCAAG
ensembl:lncRNA